UACAGAGGUGGCAAGCGUUGUUCGGAUUUACUGGGCGUAAAGGGUCCGUAGGCGGUUCGGUUAGUCAAAUGUGAAAGCCCACAGCUCAACUGUGGAACUGCAUUUGAAACUGCCGAGCUAGAGUGUGAGAGGGGUUAAGGGAAUUCCCGGUGUAAGGGUGAAAUCUGCAGAGAUCGGGAGGAACACCAGUCGCGAAGGCGCUUAACUGGCUCACUACUGACGCUCAGGGACGAAAGCUAGGGUAGCAAACGGG
rnacentral:rRNA from 2 species